rnacentral:rRNA from 1 species
CAAUAGCGUAUAUUUAAGUUGCUGCAGUUAAAAAGCUCGUAGUUGGAUUUCGGGUGGGAAUGGCCGGUCCGCCGUUUCGGUGUGCACUUGCUACGCCCACCUUGCUGCCGGGGACGUGCUCUUGGGUUCACGCUCGGGACACGGAGUCGGCGAGGUUACUUUGAGUAAAUUAGAGUGUUCAAGGCAGGCCUACGCUCUGAAUACAUUAGCAUGGAAUAACACGAUAGGACUCUGGCCUAUCUUGUUGGUCUGUAGGACCGGAGUAAUGAUUAAGAGGGACAGUCGGGGGCAUUCGUAUUUCAUUGUCAGAGGUGAAAUUCUUGGAUUUAUGAAAGACGAACUACUGCGAAAGCAUUUGCCAAGGAUGUUUUCAUUAA